AGAGUUUGAUCAUGGCUCAGGAUGAACGCUAGCUACAGGCUUAACACAUGCAAGUCGAGGGGAAACGACAUCGAAAGCUUGCUUUUGAUGGGCGUCGACCGGCGCACGGGUGAGUAACGCGUAUCCAACCUGCCCACCACUUGGGGAUAACCUUGCGAAAGUAAGACUAAUACCCAAUGACGUCUCCAGAAGACAUCUGAAAGAGAUUAAAGAUUUAUCGGUGAUGGAUAGGGAUGCGUCUGAUUAGCUUGGUUGGCGGGGUAACGGCCACCAAGGCGACGAUCGAGUAGGGGUUCUGAGAGGAAGGUCCCCCANAUUGGAACUGAGACACGGUCCAAACUCCUACGGGAGGCA
rnacentral:rRNA from 1 species